rnacentral:rRNA from 1 species
AUUGAACGCUGGCGGCAUGCUUUACACAUGCAAGUCGAACGGUAACAGGGUGCUUGCACCGCUGACGAGUGGCGAACGGGUGAGUAAUGCGUCGGAACGUGCCGAGUAGUGGGGGAUAACGCAGCGAAAGUUGUGCUAAUACCGCAUACGUACUGAGGUAGAAAGUGGGGGACCUUCGGGCCUCGCGCUAUUCGAGCGGCCGACGUCUGAUUAGCUAGUAGGUGAGGUAAAGGCUCACCUAGGCGACGAUCAGUAGCGGGUCUGAGAGGAUGAUCCGCCACACUGGGACUGAGACACGGCCCAGACUCCUACGGGAGGCAGCGGUGGGGAAUUUUGGACAGUGGGCGAAAGCCUGAUCCAGCCAUGCCGCGUGUCUGAAGAAGGCCUUCGGGUUGUAAAGGACUUCUGUCAGGGAGGAAAUCCCUAGUGCUAAUAACACUGGGGGAUGACAGUACCUGAAGAAUAAGCACCGGCUAACUACGUGCCAGCCGCCGCCGUAA